rnacentral:rRNA from 1 species
AUUGAACGCUGGCGGCAGGCCUAACACAUGCAAGUCGAGCGAGCGGCGGACGGGUGAGUAAUGUCUGGGGAUCUGCCUGAUGGAGGGGGAUAACUACUGGAAACGGUAGCUAAUACCGCAUACCCUCAGAUGAACCCAUAUGGGAUUCGCUGUGAGGUGAGGUAACGGCUUACCUAGGCGACGAUCCCUAGCUGGUCUGAGAGGAUGAUCAGCCACACUGGGACUGAGACACGGCCCAGACUCCUACGGGAGGCAGCAGUGGGGAAUAUUGCACAAUGGGCGCAAGCCUGAUGCAGCCAUGCCGCGUGUAUGAAGAAGGCCUUCGGGUUGUAAAGUACUUUCAGUCGGGAGGCGUUACCGGCAGAAGAAGCACCGGCUAACUCCGUGCCAGCCGCCGCGGUAAUAC